GUCUACAGCUAUGCCACCUUGAACGUGCUCGAUCUUAUCCGAUCUCAGAAGCUAAGCAGGGUCGAGCCUGGUUAGUACUUGGGUGGGAGACCACCUAGAAAUACCAGGAGCUAUAGGCA
rnacentral:rRNA from 1 species